CAGCAGCCGCGGUAAUACGUAGGUGGCAAGCGUUGUCCGGAAUUAUUGGGCGUAAAGGGCUCGCAGGCGGUUUCUUAAGUCUGAUGUGAAAGCCCCCGGCUCAACCGGGGAGGGUCAUUGGAAACUGGGAAACUUGAGUGCAGAAGAGGAGAGUGGAAUUCCACGUGUAGCGGUGAAAUGCGUAGAGAUGUGGAAGAACACCAGUGGCGAAGGAGACUCUCUGGUCUGUAACUGACGCUGAGGAGCGAAAGCGUGGGGAGCGAACAGGAUUAGAUACCCCCGUAGUCCCUGUCUCUUAUAC
rnacentral:rRNA from 1 species